rnacentral:lncRNA from 1 species
UGGCAGGUGGUGUUCAAGGGAGGCGACCCCAGCCCUAGCGAGAGAGAGAGACUUGGAGUCUCUGAGCUGUUGGAGUGCUGAAUGAGGGAAGGAAAUCCGAACCCCUUUAGGUUUCUAGGUCAAGAAACAACCUUGGGCUAGGGUGCCUGGGUUGGCAAAUGUUUUCUGCCACACCCCCUUUGCUUCCAUUCGCAACCCCCUUCUCUUUGGGCCUAAACCCAUUCUGGCAACCAA